CUUUGUGCUUUUUACUAAUCAAAGAACUUCUGAUCAGAUAUGGUCCAUGUAUUCAAUUACAAUGACAUAUCAAUAUAAACACAUGCACGUUGUGUAUCACAUGUAUUAGCACGUGUAUCCUGUGAUAACAAUUAAUCAACAAUUCACAAAUAAUUGGCUUAGGGUCGUGAAUUCCUCCGUCAACGUGCAAUCGAUCGCAAUCUGGUCGACAGUAGACACUCGUAAAAAUGCGGAAACGUUAGUGAACGCUGGACAGUCUGCUGCAAG
rnacentral:misc_RNA from 1 species